rnacentral:lncRNA from 1 species
AGACUUUGGAUAAUGCUCUUGAAAUUUUUUUUCCAUUCCUUCUAGGUUAAAGAACAAAAAAGUUCCAUUUCCAUGGGCUGGCUAUUUUGCAAAAAUCCAGAGUAAUCUAGUCCUACUAUUCCUCUUUGGAAUUCAGAUGCAGUUUCCAAAUUUAGAAGACUCCUCCACCUCUCACAGCUUAAAAACAUCUUGUUCCGAAGUUCUCCUGUUUAAUUUCCAGGAUAGAUGGUAGCCAGUUCCAUUCACAUUAGUUUUGAAAAUUCUUGUGUAAGCCCCUGACGUCCCACAAACUUGUUACUGGUAAUUGUUAAUCAAGAUGUAACCAAGUGGCCAAGU